UUAGAGUUUGAUCAUGGCUCAGGACGAACGCUGGCGGCGUGCCUAAUACAUGCAAGUCGAACGCGUCCCGGUUGAUGAGGUUGAGUGCUUGCACUUGAUUGAUUCAACUUGGUGACGAGUGGCGAACUGGUGAGUAACACGUGGGUAACCUGCCCUUGAAGUAGGGGAUAACACUUGGAAACAGGUGCUAAUACCGUAUAACAACCAAAACCACCUGGUUUUGGUUUAAAAGACGGCUUCGGCUGUCACUUUAGGAUGGACCCGCGGCGCAUUAGCUUGUUGGUAAGGUAACGGCUUACCAAGGCGAUGAUACGUAGCCGACCUGAGAGGGUAAUCGGCCACAUUGGGACUGAGACACGGCCCAAACUCCUACGGGAGGCAGCAGUAGGGAAUCUUCCACAAUGGACGAAAGUCUGAUGGAGCAACGCCGCGUGAGUGAUGAAGGGUUUCGGCUCGUAAAACUCUGUUGUUGGAGAAGAACAGGUGUCAGAGUAACUGUUGACAUCUUGACGGUAUCCAACCAGAAAGCCACGGCUAACUACGUGCCAGCAGCCGCGGUAAUACGUAGGUGGCAAGCGUUGUCCGGAUUUAUUGGGCGUAAAGCGAGCGCAGGCGGUUUUUUAGGUCUGAUGUGAAAGCCUUCGGCUUAACCGGAGAAGUGCAUCGGAAACCGGGAGACUUGAGUGCAGAAGAGGACAGUGGAACUCCAUGUGUAGCGGUGAAAUGCGUAGAUAUAUGGAAGAACACCAGUGGCGAAGGCGGCUGUCUGGUCUGUAACUGACGCUGAGGCUCGAAAGCAUGGGUAGCGAACAGGAUUAGAUACCCUGGUAGUCCAUGCCGUAAACGAUGAGUGCUAAGUGUUGGAGGGUUUCCGCCCUUCAGUGCUGCAGCUAACGCAUUAAGCACUCCGCCUGGGGAGUACGACCGCAAGGUUGAAACUCAAAGGAAUUGACGGGGGCCCGCACAAGCGGUGGAGCAUGUGGUUUAAUUCGAUGCUACGCGAAGAACCUUACCAGGUCUUGACAUCUUCUGCCAACCUAAGAAAUUAGGCGUUCCCUU
rnacentral:rRNA from 1 species